rnacentral:lncRNA from 1 species
GUUAAAGUGGACACAUGGCUGGAUCACACACACGUCUACACAGCCUCUCCAUCCGGAGUCUGGGAGGAAAAGCGCUUUGUUGGCCGAGAGUGCGCAGGGGCCUGGGCUCUCCUCUGGCUUCCCUCCUCUGGUCCACCGCUGGGUUGGAGAACCCCUUCUUCUGUUGGGAGGGAGGUGUGGACGCGCACGACUUGUGUAUGGACAAGUGCAAAGCUGGAGGAGUGAGAAAACUUUAAUCCUACGGAGGCCGGAGCUCGCAGGUCUGCUCUUCCGCCAAGGGAUGAGCCAGGAUUCCCUGCAGAAGGAGCUGAGCCCUCUCCGGCCGGAGACCACUCCGCUGGCGGAAGCUUGGUUCCCUAAUUCCUUUACCAGGUGCAGCCCUGACUCUCCGAGCUCCACCCUCCCCUGCCCCAGUGUUUGCCCGCAGCCCCAACCGCAGGGAGCUGAUUUACUAGGGAUUCCGAUGGAUGAUCUCUGUUGGCUGGCACCCCAACUUUUCACUCAAGCACCACGAGACUGGAGGGUGAAGGUGACCAGGACUCAGAGCUGGAGGCUUCUGUACAGAACCUGCAUGACAACCCUUCAAGCUAUGGAGUCCUGACUAUGUUCUGGACACUCUUAGAAAAGCAUGAAGGAGGCUGCCCGUGAGUGGGUGAGGGCAGGCUUGUGGAAACACGCUGAAGGAAGAUUCAGCAGGGCCUGUCUGUGCAGGCAGAGCAGGCUCCCCAGGAAGGUCGGGAGGGCUGGCUGGACGCCUGGACCCACUGUACUCCUGACAAGCCUGACAAGAUGUGAGAUGCUCCGUCCAGGCCGCAAGGCUCACACAACUUCCAGCCUGUAGGGCAGAGAAGCUGCUGAUGCACCCAGCCUGGGGCAGAGACCCAGACCUUGCAGUCAGCUAGGCUGAGCUGUGGCCCAGGGACCGGGAAGGUGUGGCUUCCUGGCUGUCCCGGCCCGCCUGGCCCGCCCGUCCAUCCAGAGGUAGCUUCUAGCGCCCAGCUGGCGGUGAAUCCCACCAGCAUUUGCUGAUAAAUAUGAUUUAGGCUACAGCUGUGACCACUGAUCAGUUAUCGUCAUCCUCCUCUGCCAUAUCAUUUGUGGAAAAGAUUCUAUUUUGUGUGUCCCUGCUUGGAUUCAGUUCAGUUGCUCUGCGUCACCCCCACCUGCAGGUGGAAAGCUCUGACUUGCCCUUUCUCUGGUCCUAGGUCCCUGUUGGAUGUGACAGCACCGUGUGGGUGUGUCAGAGCUGAACUCUUGUCUUCGGCCCCCGUGUCUCUCCCAGCCACUCACUCGCCAGGCUUCCAGGGCCAGCUGUCUCAGUAUUCCUUGUUCAGAGUUUUACCUCCUGGGCUGGAUUACAGGUUCCUCGGGAGAGGCUAGACUUCCUAUGUGUUGUCUGUAAUCCUCAGCACAAGACUAAACAUGCAGUUGCACUUGGUAAGCACUUGUGAAUAAAGGAAACAGAGAGGCAG